rnacentral:rRNA from 1 species
UACGGAGGGGGCUAGCGUUGUUCGGAAUUACUGGGCGUAAAGCGCGCGUAGGCGGAUCUGCAAGUCGGGGGUGAAAUCCUGGAGCUCAACUCCAGAACUGCCUUUGAUACUGAAGAUCUUGAGUUCGGGAGAGGUGAGUGGAACUGCGAGUGUAGAGGUGAAAUUCGUAGAUAUUCGCAAGAACACCAGUGGCGAAGGCGGCUCACUGGCCCGAUACUGACGCUGAGGCACGAAAGCGUGGGGAGCAAACAGG